GAUGAACGCUGGCGGCGUGCCUAAUACAUGCAAGUCGAGCGAACGGACGAGAAGCUUGCUUUUCUGAUGUUAGCGGCGGACGGGUGAGUAACACGUGGAUAACCUACCUAUAAGACUGGGAUAACUUCGGGAAACCGGAGCUAAUACCGGAUAAUAUUUUGAACCGCAUGGUUCAAAAGUGAAAGACGGUCUUGCUGUCACUUAUAGAUGGAUCCGCGCUGCAUUAGCUAGUUGGUAAGGUAACGGCUUACCAAGGCAACGAUGCAUAGCCGACCUGAGAGGGUGAUCGGCCACACUGGAACUGAGACACGGUCCAGACUCCUACGGGAGGCAGCAGUAGGGAAUCUUCCGCAAAGGGCGAAAGCCUGACGGAGCAACGCCGCGUGAGUGAUGAAGGUCUUCGGAUCGUAAAACUCUGUUAUUAGGGAAGAACAUAUGUGUAAGUAACUGUGCACUUCUUGACGGUACCUAAUCAGAAAGCCACGGCUAACUACGUG
rnacentral:rRNA from 1 species